GAGAGGUACGUUGUCGGUAAGAUUAUUUUUGAAUGGCAAAUAGUGAAACCUCGCUGAUUUUAAGGUGGUAUUUUAACGAAAGCGGGUAACACAAGGUUUGUCACCUUGAAGGAACUAUCCCCCCGGCACUGGAAUAAGCACAGCAUGGGCGAAACCCAAAGCUCAGUAUAGCCGAAAGUCGGUGCACACCCGACAUCUAAGCCAUCCGUAGUUUUUGUAAGAGAGAUAGAUUAUAAAAUGUAGAAGAAAAGAAAGUAAAGAUGUGUUGGUAAAGCUCAAGAAAAGCA